GAGCGUUACAGCUCUUUUAGAAGAUGUCAAGCAGGUUUCCUGGUCCACACUGGGAAACCCAA
ensembl:snRNA U7 U7 small nuclear RNA